UCACGGCCGGGUAGCCAAGUCGGGAAGGGAUAAACGCUGAAGGCAUCUAAGCGUGAAGCCCCCCUCAAGAUGAGAUAUCCCAUUCGAAAGAAGUAAGACCCCUUGAAGACGACGAGGUAGAUAGGGCAGAGGUGGAAGUGCCGUAAGGCAUGGAGCUGACUGUUACUAAUCGGUCGAGGGCUUGACCUG
rnacentral:rRNA from 1 species